AGUUCCCUCACUUCCCAGGGGUGGUAAGUUAGGCUCCAAAAGGUAAGGGGCUUGCCCAAAACACAUACAAAAAGGAAGUGCCUGACCCGGGCACUCUAAAAUCACAAACACAGCUUUCCUCUCCAAUCUCUAUACUCAAGAACAGAGGAGGACUCAGAACUAUAAUUGUGUGACUCACAUCAGUCAGUGUCUCUGAAAUAUACAAUCCUAAGCAAUGUAGUUAAGCCUCCUAAGUCCACCUCCUCUCCCCUACCUGGGGAGAUCAGCAUUAAUGAUGAGCUGAGGUAAAAGAGCUUAGAGGCUUGAAGGGGCCACAAAGGGAUUUGCAGUGCAGGGAGGGCCACAUUCCUGAACUUUCUCCUCUCCUGGAAGGUGCCUGGUGUGCUUCGAACCUACAAUGUCCAUCGCUUCUUUUCCUUUGACCUUCUCUUAGUUCUUGCACAGUUUUCUUAACUUUAUUCAUAGUUUUAAAGAGUCUCGGGGUGUGGGGGGGUUACUAGCUCAUAUUUUAAACCCUCUCUUCCUACAACUUGACACUAAACAGAUACAAAGAUGAAUAAAAUUACCAUCCUUAAUUAGUGCUUUUGCCUCAGUCAUUCCUAAGCUGAAGCCAUUGGCUGACCACUAAAAAUAAUGUUUAAACAAGGUCUUCUGUGUUAAUUUCCCAUAAAUGUAUUUUAAAAUGCUCCCAUCCCAUUCUAUAAGUUUUAUGGUUUUCAAAGAAAGCCAUGUCCAAGAACAAUAAGUCAGUUGCCCAAGGUCUCAGAGGUGUUGGGAACAUAACCAAGAGCUAGCCCAGGGUCUAGCUGACCCCAAAGCCCAUGCCUUCCAAGCAGCACAAGAGAGAGGAAGGCACCAUCUAGGUGUCUUUCUUAGCUCCGAGGGAAUAAAAGUCUUCCCAGGAAGGGACCAGCAGGACCUGAAGGCUGUUCUUUAAGUCCCCUUCAGGAUCCCACGGUGAAAAGGUCAAAAUACGUUCUGUGCUUUUCACAGAUAGAGUUGUAAAAUGGCUGUGGGAGAACAGCCUCGGAGUGAACCUGACAUUGGGUGUGUGCAAGCGGUUCAUGACUCUGCGGUUGAGUGUACAUGAGUCACCCAGAACACCGCGAGGCUC
rnacentral:lncRNA from 1 species